rnacentral:lncRNA from 1 species
CUGGCGUUGGUUGUGGUUAGUGGUUUUGUGCGAUUUGCGAUUUCUCGAUUGAUUUACGGUUAUUGAUUCACGGUUUUUGACACUUUUUUCGGACUUCGACUACGGCUUUGGAUUUGCGAUUUCACUUUGACACUCGGAUACGGUUUUGGAUUUCCCGGUAACGACCCUUUUCUUCUGACUUCGACUGACGGCUUUGGACACCCCUUGGAUUUGGUUGCUUAGCAAAACCCCCAUAAUGGGAGUUUUAUCCCUGUGUGAGGAAGCACCGAGCAAGGUGUUCGGUGUUCCCUUGUCACAUCUGAGGAAGACCGGACAGAUGAGACAGGGGCUUCCUCUGGCCUUCACACACCUAGUACGCUUCCUCGAGAAGCAUGUACUGGAUACCCUUCCAGAGGAAAAUUACAACAUCCUCUGCUUUCUAACGUUCUUCCUGUCCCGAGUGGCUGCCGAGAGUCAUGCCAACUGCAUGACCACCACCAACCUGUCCAUAGAAUUUGGGCCGAUCCUCUUUCAUGUUCCUCAAGGCCCCACAAAGCUUGAGGAAGAGGAGAUGUGUAUCAGCUUUACGGAGUACAUGCUGGACAACCUCAGACAUCUACUGCCCAAUAUGUACCCUCAAGCAUCUGCCACCAACACAGCAGAGGGAGACAGUGUGUCUGAGGCGGGAGGGGACUUCACUCCUGAAAAGUGUGUCCAGCAGGUGCUUCUCACAGAGACCAGCUCAAAGCCACUAAAAAUUGGGCGACUUGGGCGUCUGAGAAGACAAUUUUUGCAUUUUUGGCAAAAAUUUGGCUCCUGCAAUGGCAGGCGCAAAGUGGAAGAGAGUGAAAAACCCUCUGCGGCUGGUGAUGUUCAAUGCAUGUCUCCAUAGCCAGUGAGAGACUGAGGGAGGGUGAGGGUCACCAGUAAACAAUGGGGUUGGUGAGGGUCACCGGAAGGCACAGAUGUUGGUGAGGGUCACCAAUGUGA